GGGCUAUAUUUGAACAAAAAAAUAUGUGUCUAAACAACGGUACUUUAAACAUGUGCACAAUACAUAAUACCGAUAUACCAUGCUGGUACAGUAGUGUACUAGCUUAGCUAUGAACAAAUUAUAGUUCUAGUAGUGGAUUAGCUCACCCUGCGGCCCUUUAUUAGCCUCCGCUUACGCAAUGAGGCCUUCUUACAGGUUGGUGUAUAGAUACUGUAUGCAUCAAUCAGGCCUUCCUCGGCUUCAGCUACAUCAUAGAUCUGGUUGCAUGCCUUGGAAGCAUGCGCAGAUGAAUCAAACUCACAGGCCAACUGCAGCUUCUGAUAGGUAUCAUCAGAGAUCAGCCCAUGCGUCCACCAGUACUCGAAAGUUCCAACGUAAUCAUGGUAAUCAUCAAUAACGGCAUUUCCGACCUAGAACAGCGAUUGAUUAUUUGAUCAUAUGUAACAAGAAAAAUGUCCAGACCAAUUAAGGGAGAAUCAAAAGAAGAGCUGAUUAGUUUCUGACCAUGAAGCCUUUGAAGUUGAGGAUGGGCUUCUUGAUACCUUUGUUGUUUCUGAACACUAGCUGAGACAACUGAGGAACAUAGUGCCCUGAAAAGCAGCCAUUGCAGCAACAGUGAACAAACUAGGUGACACAUGAAUCAUAUACAUGUGAUUGCUGGAUAAUGUUGAACGCAGAGCCAACAUGCUAGAAUUAACCAAUUCGAUCUGAUGGCAAUUCACCUCCAUAGCUCUCCCCGGAGAUGUAGAAAUCGCGAUGCUUGUACUGCGGAAACCUCUCCAGCCAAUUCACCAAGAAAGUGUACGAAUCGUGAGCUGCAAGAUAUCAUUGGUAUUCAGCAGAAGACAUCCUCAUGCGAGCAAAGAACAGUACUAGCACUUGAAUAGAUAAGUAAUCCUGAAAAAUUGACCUGUCUUGUUGUCGCCGGGUGUGAAGAGAUCGGAGGUGGUGUUGGAGUAGGAGUACCCUACGCCUGCGGGGGAGUCCAAGAAGAGCAUGUUGGCCACUGCAAGGAACGAGCCGAUCCAAUUCCAUCCCAGUGUCAGUUGUCAAGGAAGCUAACACAAUUCUCGGUCAAAAGAAGAAGAGAGCGAGGGAGAAAAAAAAUCGACUCUUGUUCCAGGAGUAGGGGUUGGGGACGAGCGUGGUGCCGUCGGGGCUGAUCCGGAAGGCGCCGAGCUCCUCGGAUGCGCCGUAGCCGACGGAGGAGCAGCCGGGCCCGCCGUUGAGCCAGAGCACGAGCGGGGCCGAGUCCGGCGCGGCGGUGGAGGAGGCCUCGAUGAGCCAGUAGAAGAGCGCCCGCCCCGCGGCGGCGUCCACGGUGACGUAGCCCGAGUACAUGGAGAAGUUGACCGGCGGCUGGCCCGGCAGCCGCGUGAUGCGGUCGGCCGCCGCCGCAGAGGUGGUAGUAGCCGAGGCGGGCGCGCAGCUGGAGAGAGACGGCGCCAGGAUGGCGGCGGCCAGCAGGAUUAGCACGGCCGUCGCCAUUGGACUCUGUCUCUGUCUGCUGCAAGUGAGCCUCUCCAGUUUAAUGGCGACUUUGCGGGGGAGCGUGGAAAGCGUGGGAUGGUAGUUUACUCGACCUUCGUGUGGCGUAUACUGCGGCAUCGUCAUCGUUCAAUAAUAAAACUCAUCCCCUUCCUUGUGUUUCCAGCUUCAGCCGCGCCUACGCUGCUCAGCCUCCUCUACCAUGGCGUCUCUCCUCUUCCUCCCGCACACCACCCCCGCGCCCACCCUGCGCGCCAAGCUCCUGCCCGGUCCUCGAACCAUCAUCACCUGCGGCCCGCGCGACAACCGCGGCCCGCUCCAGCGGGGCCGUUCCCUCUCCACGGAGGCCAUCCACGCCGUGCAGGCCCUCAAGCGCCUCACCGCCGCCGACCGCUCCCCUCCCGCCGCCACGGCCGCGGCCUCCGCCGCCCUCGGCCGCCUCCUCCGCGCCGACCUCCUCGCCGCCAUGGCCGAGCUCCAGCGCCAGGGCCACUGGUCCCUCGCCCUCGCCGCGCUCCACGUCGCCCGCGCCGAGCCCUGGUACCGCCCCGACCCGGAGCUCUACGCCACCUUCGUCUCCUCCUCGCCCUCCAACGACCCCGCCGCCGCAGCUGCCGUGGACGCGCUCGUCGAGGCCUUCAUCGAGGAGAAGGAGCGGGGCGCCGCCGGCGGGUCCUCGGAGGGGGUGUGGGUCGGGGAGGACGUGUACAAGCUGACGCGGCUGGUGCGCGCGCUGGUGGCCAAGGGCAGGGCGCGCGCCGCCUGGAGGGUGUACGAGGCGGCGGUCAGGAAGGGAGGCUGCGAGGUGGACGAGUACAUGUACAGGGUGAUGGCCAAAGGGAUGAAGCGGCUGGGGCUUGACGAGGAAGCGGCGGAGGUGGAGGCGGACUUGGCCGACUGGGAGGCCAGGCACCUGCCCGACGAAAUGCGCCCGAGGGAGAAGAGCAAGACGGCUGUGACUGGCUCUGUUGUUUAGUUCAGUAAAUCGAGAGACCUAGUAAUGAUGAUUUUGCAUGCCUUUCAUAGUUAAAGACUGAUGAACAACAAUUUCUCCUCUUUCGACCUCCGUCUACGGUUUGCAGAUCGCGCAAGAAUGGACGUUACUACUUCACUUGUUUUGAAAUCUGACUGUUCCAUUGCAAACUGCAAUGUUUUUCAGGUUUAUCGUCAGUCACAGACUCACAGCUAGUGUGGCGUUGAGCUCGGAGCUGAAGGUGGAACUGUUAAAUUCUGUGACUAUCAUGUAAACUUUACAAAUAAGAAACAACCACAACGCUGAAUACAUCAUGGCCAAAACUAAAUCAGGAGGAGUCAGUCAAGUGAUAGACGCUACGUAAAUUAAGGCCAUCGCCCAUAUGCUUUUGCUUGCCUAGCAGAGAAGGAGCGAGUCGACGAACAAGUCGUCCCUGGGCUCGUCCUUGGUGUUGGUGAGCAUCUCCAGAGUGUAGGGGCCCUGUUGUCCGUGUCCGGCGGCAGCAGCAGAGGAAGAGGACGUCGUCGGGCGGCCGAGCGGCACGUCGUGGUUGUGCUUGCCCUCGUAGGUGGUGAUGACGGCGCGGUUGUCGUGCGACGCCCGCUCCACGCCGUUUCUUCCACAGAGUUGCAUCUCCGGAAAGUUCAGGAGGUUAAGGUACCCGAAUCUACCAAAUAAUGUUGUUCUCUGCCAAGUUUUCACCACCAAACAAUUGGAUUUUGUUGGUACUUAAAUAUGUGCUCGUUUCCUGCAAUUUCCGUUUAGAAUCCUGCCAUGGAAGUUGCAAACGUGCCCAAACGUAAGAAGAAGCGUGAGCGUGGAGGACAAGAACCUGCUCCGUAUUCGAUGUUACAGGUGUGUAAAAUACAGAUGUGCUGCUUACGUAUUGGAUCCCCUGAAGUGUGGUCCUUACCGUGCGCCUAUAUUUUGCAGAAAAUCAAGGAUUUCCUUUCGGGGCCUCUCCUGAAACUUUUGCUACUGGUAAUUGCUAUAGCUGGAUUGGUUGGGUUGGUGGUGGUGACGGUGAAAUUUAUUUACCAGAUUUCAGAUUGGAUGAACGAAAUGGAGGAGCAGAGGACCAGGCAAAGGAACCUGAGGGCUCCAAGGUUGUAAAAAUAUAUAUUUUGAGACUUUUAUAUAUGGGUUCUUGCGCGCCCAGUAACCAGUUUUGAGAUGUAGAUCAAUAAACGACUCUUUACUGUCGCGGUCCAGUCUCUGGAAGCGUAUAUCUGAAACUGAAAGGAUGCCAUUGUUUGGUUCAUUCGUUUGUAUCAAAGGAAAACGGCGUUGUAUUCUGUUUGAAUUGUGUUUUGAAGUUACCGUAAGGCUCCGAGCCUCCCGUUUCCAUUGCAUUAACGAAACCAGGGUUUUACAGCACUCAAAGAAAAGGAAAAAAAAAAGGUUCUGAGCAUCAGCUCAGCAGUCACUAAACAUUUUUAGCUGCAAAGUUAACAGCACGCCAGAGAGCUGAAGCAAAGUUACGGAGCAGAGUUGAAACGUCCCAGCAUCGCAUGGAGCUUCAGGUGAAUCUGGGCGCUGGGAGCUUCCUUUUGGAGCAGCUCGGGAGAAUAUCCCUGUAUACUAAAAAAUAAUAAUUUAUUUGGCCUAUGCAGGUCUCGAACCUGCGACCUUGGCCUUAUUAGGACCACGCUCUUACCAGCUAAGCUAAUAGGCCACUUUAAUUACAGUAAUUAAAGAAAGUUAUAUAUUUUUUUAAUUAGAAUACUAAAUCCGACAUGUAAUCCGACAGUAAAUCAAGCACAGGAGCAGAGUUAAAUAACUCAAGAAGGAUUCCCAACUGAACGAGCAGGCCACCAAUGCAAUGCAACGGCAGCAAUAGUAUUAUUGAUUGACAAAGAGAAAGGUGGAUUCUCUUCCGGCUGGGCGUACGUAGCAGGGAAUUCAAUCUCACGAAUCAGAUGCCCCACCCAACGCUGGAGAUGAAAAGGAAAAUAAAUGUAUUAAUAACUUACCUUGUUAAUUUGCUGACAUUAUCUUCUGGGACUACUCUCUCUGCCUUUCAUGCCCGCCGUCCAACGAUGCACGGUAGGCGCGAAAAAGGUCCAAAUUCCGUCUUCACUUUCUUUACCCUGAAAUCGUGAUGCUUCAGCUCAGUUCAGUUGUUCUAACAAGGCUUCAAGCCAACUUCUGAAGCUAUAUAUAUAUCUCACGAUCAGCUAGCACUCCAGGAGAAGUCCAGUCGAGAGAAAACCGACCAUGGGGGCCGCGCCGUCUUCGCCAAAAGAGACGUCUUCCGUGUCAUCGUGCACCGGCGAUGGCCGUGCCGUGCCGAUGGCGCACAGUGCUGAUUCCACCUCUGGCACAAACCUGCAGGCCCAGUCCAAGCGAGCGCCGGCUCCUCACAUGUUCCGGGAGAUCGUCGCCAACGAGAAGGCUACUGAUUUAGCUGCAAUGGAAGAUCAGGCCUGCACAGGGAUCUUCUUGGCCGGAAAAACAAAGGUUCAUUAAUUUGCUUCUGAAAACAUGAACUAGCAUGACAUGGAAUCCUGUAUACUCCCUCGGAUCCUAAAUUUUUGUCCAAAUAUGGAUGUAUAUACUCUUAAAAGGCGUCUAGAUACAUGUAAUAUUUCAACAACAAUUUAGGAUCGCAGGGAGUAAUAUAUAAGCUUUGGCUUUUGAUUUUGAACAUGGUUAUGCUUCAAACUUUCAAUGAAUGCAGAAGUACUGGGUGGAUGAGAGGACCAGGCACAACUGCUUCAUGCUGCUCCCAAGAGGCCUAGCCGUCACUUGGAGUGAAGACCCCAGAUACUGGACUUGGCAUGCCCUGAAAGAAGGAAGGUACUGUAAUUCAGAAUCACAACAUGUACAUCUACAUACGUAAAGAUGAUUUUUUUUAGUUGUUCACAGAUCAUGCUCUCAGGAAUUAGACUUAAUUACCAUGCUGUUUCUGAACCUGACAUGUUUAACAAAUCAGCGACGGCGAAGCUGAAAAAAUCGAGGCAGUGAUGCUGCAGAACGUCUGCUGGUUGGAGGUUCAUGGGAAGCUGGAGCUGUCCCAUCUUACACCGGGAGUCACCUAUGAGGUUGUCUUCGAAGUGAUGCUCAAAGAUCCAGCCUAUGGAUGGUCUGUGCCGGUGAACCUCCAGCUCAAACUCCCCGACGGAACGGUCCAGCAGCGCAAAGAGAAUCUGCUGGAGAAGCCCAGGGAGAAGUGGCUGCAGCUCAAGGUUGGGGAGGUUAAACCACAGAUGGGGCAGAAUGGAGAGGUUGGGAUCUCUAUGUUUGAGUAUGAUGGUGGGGAGUGGAAGAGGGGGCUCCUCAUCAAGGGCAUCAAGAUCAUCCCAAAAAAAUGAUCUGGUUGGUGUUUUAUUAUCGAUGAUCGAUAGCUUUUUGUUUGUCAAAUGCGCUAAGAUCAGCGUGAUGCAUGGGAAUAAUAUUUGUGCUGUUACAAAAUCCAAGACUUCCGAAAGAAUGUUUAUCUUCCCAAAAUUCUUGCACUAGAAAGAAUAUGAGAGUACCUGGUUAUUCUGAACCUCCGAGUAGUACUUCUUUUCUGUAACAUAUGCCACGCUUAAAACAUCUUUUAUUUUUCAAAGACGGAACUAAAUGCACGUUGUUUUGUAUGAGAAGAAGAAUGCCCACAAAGCACAAAAGCAUACAAUUCACCAAGGUUAACAUAUUCCAAGCUUAACAUGUUGCUUAACAUCUUUGAUAAUUAUGUCAGCAAGAGGGUCAGGGAGACCCCAAGCCUGCAACUUGAUCUAGAAUGGUACUGUUGUCUCUUCUACAGAUAAUAGUGAACAUGGUAGCAUGGUAUUGUGUCAAAUAAGUACGUACGUGAAUAUUCCAAAUUACAUUACAUUAACAUUCCAGUGCUCAGUAUACAUGAAAACUGAAAACAAAACUCUCAUCAGACAACUUUGAUGGGAAUUAUGUUCCAAUUUCUAAAGUUACUGCACUGAAAUAAUUAAUAAUGCCAAGUAGCCAACAUCAAUCGAACAGAGCAUAUCUCCUCAACUGAAACGUGUGAGCCAGGCUUGAAAUUGUACAACAAGAUGGCUUCAUAGCGUGACCUUCCAUUUUAAGCGAAAGAAAUAUCUAAAACGACUGAAUGCUAUCUACAGGCCGAGGCAUGGGCUUAUCUUGCAAAAAAUGCUCAAAAAGCUUCAAGGCCUGUUGUGGACGAUGGAGGGGAACCUCGUGUCCUGCUCCUCGGAUUGUCACCAACGUCAAACCUUUGUACACUUGGCACCAACCAGCAACCUAAGCAAGAUCCACACCAUUAGAAUGAUGAGUAUAGCUGUAGCAAGUGAAAAAGGGAAUAAAACUGCCAGUGUUUCUUUAGCACAGGUUGCUGACUAACCUCCUCCUCCUCAUACCAGGGAUACCAGUUAGUGACAGUCGGAAGAUAGAGCGCAUCAAUGGAGUAUCUUGUAGCAGUGAGGGGUACCACGGAAUCAGCAUCACCACUGUCAAAUUUCCGAAUUUAAAUGAUUAAAUCCUCAGAAGGACAGAAUGGCUGUGCUAUGGUACCAUACAGAGAGUGAUGAUCAUAGAUCAGCAUUGGCACCACUGUCAAAUAUUUAUGUUCCAGUGUGAAUCAUGUUUUCAACAUAAAUUUGGUGUACCUGAAGACCCAUAUUCUUAUGCCAGCAGCAAUAAGUUCAUGGUAUAUAGGAAGCAUAGACCUCGGUGAAUCUUUCCAAUGCUCAAACAAGUCAUCACUGCGAAUUUUUGGCAUAAGUUUAGCGCAAACUAUCACUAACAAGCAAGCUUUACUGUCAGUUAUGAUGAAUGAGUAGUUGUGAGUAAAACAAGAUGAAACCAGUUGAACAAACCUGCAGGGGUUCCAGGCAUACGGCAUUCCAGUGACAUUGGCAUGAAAAGCUUUCUGCACUUCUGGUAGAUUAUAGUACUUUGUGGAGUACUUUUCAGUGCAAGGAUCAUAUCCUCUUGGCAACCAGGGCUAUAUUUGAACAAAAAAAUAUGUGUCUAAACAACGGUACUUUAAACAUGUGCACAAUACAUAAUACCGAUAUACCAUGCUGGUACAGUAGUGUACUAGCUUAGCUAUGAACAAAUUAUAGUUCUAGUAGUGGAUUAGCUCACCCUGCGGCCCUUUAUUAGCCUCCGCUUACGCAAUGAGGCCUUCUUACAGGUUGGUGUAUAGAUACUGUAUGCAUCAAUCAGGCCUUCCUCGGCUUCAGCUACAUCAUAGAUCUGGUUGCAUGCCUUGGAAGCAUGCGCAGAUGAAUCAAACUCACAGGCCAACUGCAGCUUCUGAUAGGUAUCAUCAGAGAUCAGCCCAUGCGUCCACCAGUACUCGAAAGUUCCAACGUAAUCAUGGUAAUCAUCAAUAACGGCAUUUCCGACCUAGAACAGCGAUUGAUUAUUUGAUCAUAUGUAACAAGAAAAAUGUCCAGACCAAUUAAGGGAGAAUCAAAAGAAGAGCUGAUUAGUUUCUGACCAUG
rnacentral:lncRNA from 1 species